rnacentral:tRNA from 11 species
CGUGGCCCGGUGGUUAAGACACCGGGCUGGUAUCUUGAUGGUCGUCGGUUCGAGCCCAG